GAAUUCUUCAGUGGAUUUGCUGACAUCUUUUGAGGGUGGUAGAAACAUGCUACCCCACUGUGGGAAGUGAACAACACUCACUGGUAGAGUGCAAGCCACUAUCAUUACACCCAUCAAGGAGAGACCUGUGGCAGUAGAGAAUUUGGAGGUUGAAAAGAAGACCAAUUGGGUGAGGCCAGACCCAAAGUUUCCACCUGCACCAGUUAGACCUGAUAUGAUCCCCAAAGACCUUCUUGAGAUGAAAGGAAUGAUGCCAAAAGUUGCACCACAUGCAGCUUGAGCUCCUAUAGAGAACAGGAUCAUGGCCAAUACAGCAAUAGGAAGAGAAUUGGCACGGCCAAGCCAAAUACAGAAAACCCCUCCUAAGGUUUGGAGGAUCCAAAGGGUCCAGAGUCUUCCCCUCAUGCCAAACAGCCUGGCUGCAACAUCUGAAGCAUAUCCACCAAAAGGUCGAGCAACUAAGUUUGCCAUUCCAAAUGAAGCAGCAAUGAUUCCAGCAGUGUGUAGCUUGAGAUUAAAUCUG
rnacentral:lncRNA from 1 species